rnacentral:rRNA from 1 species
UACAGAGGUCUCAAGCGUUGUCCGGAAUCAUUGGGCGUAAAGAGCGCGUAGGCGGCCAGAUAAGUCCGGUGUGAAAGUCAAAGGCUCAACCUUUGAAUGCCGCUGGAAACUGUCUGGCUAGAGUCCGGGAGGGGCGAGUGGAAUUCCUGGUGUAGCGGUGAAAUGCGCAGAUAUCAGGAGGAACACCAAUGGCGAAGGCAGCUCGCUGGAACGGUACUGACGCUGGAGGCGACGAAAGCCGUGGGGAGCAA